UUGACGCGCAUGAAUGGAUUAACGAGAUUCCCUCUGUCCCUAUCUACAUUCUGGUGAACCCACAGGCAAGGGAACGGACUUGCAUGAACACAGCGGGGAAAGAAGACCCUGUUGAGCUUGACUCUAGUCUGAAUUUGUGCGGAGACAUCGGAGGUGCAGCAUAGGUGGGAGGUGCGCAAGUGCCGAACCAUGAGAUACCACUACUCCCUUCGUCUCCGCCCUCUACUCGGUUCAUGGGUUGAACAAUCCGACGCUUGGCGUCAUGAGCGUUCCGGGGAAUCUGAAUAUUAGCGCAUUGCUAAUUCCGUCCAUGUUUCCUUGACUCAGUUCUGACGCUAGAUGGUGCGGCAUUGAUUGGCUACGGGACCGCCUUCAGGAGCUAACGCAAGUCCCGCUCGAACAGCGAUUGUCGACGAGCUCGAUGUACCGCAUAGCUCAUCUCAUCAUAACAUUAACCGGGCUGCUACUCUAGAAUAGACAGCACCCUAGCGGAUCAGUUGCACCAUUCGGCCGUUGGCGUCACAACGAUGACGAACAUCCUGAUCUGGGCGUGGCAAAAGCGAAGUGACCGUUUGAUAUGAUGCCCGCAAGCGGACAGCAAUCAAAACGAUGCGCGCGCUUCGAGCACACAGUCAAUC
rnacentral:rRNA from 1 species